rnacentral:rRNA from 1 species
GUUUCGGCAGGUCUCGAGUAGGAGUUUGUACUCUGGCUCAGGACGACGCUGGCGGCGUGCUUAACACGUGCAAGUCGAACGAUGAAGCCUAGCUUGCUAGUGGAUUAGUGGCGAACGGGUGAGUAAUACGUGAGUAACCUACCUUUAACUCUGGGAUAAGCCUGGGAAACUGGGUCUAAUACCGGAUACGACCAAUCUCCGCAUGGGGUGUUGGUGGAAAGCGUUAUGUAGUGGUUAUAGAUGGGCUCACGGCCUAUCAGCUUGUUGGUGAGGUAACGGCUCACCCAAGGCGACGACGGGUAGCCGGCCUGAGAGGGUGACCGGCCACACUGGGACUGAGACACGGCCCAGACUCCUACGGGAGGCAGCAGUGGGGAAUAUUGCACAAUGGGCGCAAGCCUGAUGCAGCGACGCCGCGUGAGGGAUGACGGCCUUCGGGUUGUAAACCUCUGUUAGCAGGGAAGAAGAGAGAUUGACGGUACCUGCAGAGAAAGCGCCGGUUAACUACGUG